GUCUAGAACAUGCUAGAUAGAGGUUCUAUAGGACUGUACAAUGAUUUAAUGACUGAAUUUAGCUUUAUUUUUACCAUCUAUUCAACCUGUAAUCAAUGAUUGGAAGUCCAGUGUGCGUAAUGUAAUGGUCCUGUCUAUUCUCAGGUUAUGGAAAUGGAAAUUCCUAUGGAGGUAAUGGUUUAUUCACUUCAAUAGUGUAAGGAUGUAGUUUUUGAUUUAAAAUGUCACUUUUUAAUAUAUAUCUAUUUUCUUUGGAAAUGCUGGUGUAGGUGACGACAUUAUGUCUAAACCAGGUGAGACUAAAUGGUCUAUUCCACUUGUGCUAUCAGGUAUAUAUCUGUGUGUUUUAUAUAUUCUGUAGGUUAUGACAUUGGAUACGAUGCUCCUGUACAUCCUGAAUAUGCAGGUCUUGGUCAGGGUGUUCCUGUAAUUGGUAGGUAUAAACAUCUAGGACGUCAUUGAACGUUAUAUUAACAUGUUUUAUUAUAAAUUAACCCCAUAGGUGGUCAACUACAGAUUCCAUACAAUAGAGGCCCAAUGGUUCCUACUGGACUUGACGGAAUGGGUGGUUUUCCAUAUGGUGGUCAGACACUUGGAAUGGAAAAAACCAACGCUAAAUACGGUAUUGGUGGUCUUCAGUUUGGUGGACAACCUGGAAAUACUGGAGGUUAUGGUCCCAGUCCGUAUGGGAAUGGAGGAGGAGCUACAUCUGCUGGACAAUAUGGUUAUGGAAAACUUCCUUUUGAAGCUCAGCCAGCGUCGCUCGACCUUGGAGGAACUGGUGAGGUUGGGGGUCCCUCCACUCCACAGAUGCUCAGUGUCAUGGGCCCGGAUCAAUCUGCUUGGAAUUAUGGAAACCAAGGAUCUGACUCCUCACAACCUGAAGAUGUGGAAGGUGUGUCUUAUGAUCCAGCUGCUGAUUCCUACGGUGUGUGAUGAACACGGUGGUAUCUCCUCACCAGCUUCUGCUGAUGGAAAUGUUUUGUUUUUAUCAGACGUAGUGACUCCAGCUCUCACCGCUGGUGAAGAAGGUCUGGUUCAUUUUGCUCCCACGCCCAGCACCACGCUGACCCACCCACCCACCACUGAAGAACAGUCCUUCACACCCCAUGACUUUCCUGAUCCGAUGGCCACAGCCAGCGUCAUCCUCGACUCUGUGCAACCUUCAGAAUCACAGCUGGACGCUGACCUGCCACGUCAACUGCACAUUCAGCAGCAUCUCAAACUGCAUUUUCACCCUCAAGGAGCGAAAAAUAACAAAUAUGACUUAAAUGGUUUCUUUGGAAACAGUGGCUAUCAAGGUUAAUGUUGAUGAAAACAACCAAUGACAACUGUUUACUGACUGUAUAAUAUUUUAAUUCUUCUGGC
rnacentral:lncRNA from 1 species